rnacentral:rRNA from 1 species
UAUGUGAUCGUCUCUCGCAUAUCAAUAAGCGGAGGAAAAGAAACUAACAAGGAUUCCCCUAGUAACGGCGAGUGAAGCGGGAAGAGCUCAAAUUUGAAAUCUUAAAGGGUUUCCCUUUACGAAUUGUAGUUUAAAGAAGUGUUUUCUGUUGAGGUUUUGGUAAAAGUUCUUUGGAAUAGGACAUCAUAGAGGGUGAGAAUCCCGUAUUUGACCUUUACUUUCAACUUUGUGAUACACUUUCAAAGAGUCGGAUUGUUUGGGAAUGCAGUCCAAAAUGGGUGGUAAAUUUCAUCUAAAGCUAAAUAUUGGCGAGAGACCGAUAGCGAACAAGUACCGUGAGGGAAAGAUGAAAAGAACUUUGAAAAGAGAGUUAAACAGUACGUGAAAUUGUCAAAAGGGAAGCGUUUGACACCAGUGUUGUUUUUCUGAAAAUCAAUUAAAGAACUGUUUAUGCUAAGUUGUUUAGACUUUAUCAGCUAACUGUUUAGUUUUGAGCUUUUCUUUAAUGCACUUUUCAGUUAACAAGUCAACAUCAAUUUCUUUUGCUGUAAAAAAGCUUGAGGAAGGUGGCUUGAGAUUCGUCUUAAGUGUUUAUAGCCUCUUGCCUAUGCAGUCGGAGAGAUUGAGGUCUGCAGCGUAGGUCCUUCGGGGCUAAAUGCAUUUGUGCUAAGUUAUAGCAUUUUAUAGACAACUUGUUGACUAUGAUUUGUCUUGUAGCUUACUCGCUUAUGUUAUUUUACCUACGCUUAGGAUGUUGAAGAUAUGCGCGACACG